AUGAGUUACCCUCACAACCACAGGCACUCACCUCCGCCACCAGGACCUCCCAUUGGAAUAGGGCACCCACUUGUUCCUGGUCCACCACCGCCACAACCGCCUACGUUCCACCCUCCACCACCUCAUGAUCUUUUUUAUCCCCCGCCACCUGUUUUCCACCAUCCACCCCCUCCUCCAAACCCGUACGCUCCACCACCACCACCACCAAUUGUGCACCACCAUCAUACACCACCGCCACCGUGGUAUGGUCCUCCAGGUCCUCCGCCACCACAGCCUGGUCCUCCCGGUCCUCCGCUGACACGCCCUCCUUAUUAUUAA